rnacentral:rRNA from 1 species
AACGAACGCUGGCGGCGCGCCUAAUACAUGCAAGUCGAGCGAGAAGGUGUAGCAAUACACUUGUAAAGCGGCGAACGGGUGAGGAAUGCAUGGGUAACCUACCCUCGAGUGGGGAAUAACUAGCCGAAAGGUUAGCUAAUACCGCAUACGUUUCCGGAACUUCGGUUUCGGAAAGAAAGCAAUACCGUGGGUAUUGCGCUCCUGGAUGGGCUCAUGUCCUAUCAGCUUGUUGGUGAGGUAACGGCUCACCAAGGCUUCGACGGGUAGCUGGUCUGAGAGGACGAUCAGCCACACUGGCACUGCGACACGGGCCAGACUCCUACGGGAGGCAGCAGUAAGGAAUAUUGCGCAAUGGACGAAAGUCUGACGCAGCGACGCCGCGUGGGGGAUGAAGGUCUUCGGAUUGUAAACCCUUUCGGGAGGGAAGAUGGAGUGGGUAACCACUUGGACGGUACCUCCAGAAGCAGCCACGGCUAACUCGUGCCAGCAGCCGCGGUAAU